UACGUAGGGGGCGAGCGUUGUCCGGAUUUAUUGGGCGUAAAGAGCUCGUAGGCGGUUUCGGAAGUCGGAUGUGAAAUACCGGGGCUCAACUCCGGGGCGCCAUUCGAUACUCCGCUGACUCGAGUCCGGUAGGGGAAGGUGGAAUUCCUGGUGUAGCGGUGAAAUGCACAGAUAUCAGGAGGAACACCGGUGGCGAAGGCGGCCUUCUGGUCCAGUACUGACACUCAAGUGCGAAAGCGUGGGGAGCAAACAGG
rnacentral:rRNA from 1 species